CCUACGGGAGGCAGCAGUAAGGAAUAUUGGUCAAUGGGCGCAAGCCUGAACCAGCCAUGCCGCGUGCAGGAAGACGGCCCUAUGGGUUGUAAACUGCUUUUGAACAAGAGAAAACCUCGGUACGUGUACCGAGCUGAUAGUAUUGUUAGAAUAAGCAUCGGCUAACUUCGUGCCAGCAGCCGCGGUAAGACGAAGGAUGCAAGCGUUAUCCGGAUUCAUUGGGUUUAAAGGGUGCGUAGGCGGACCGAUAAGUCAGUGGUGAAAUCUCUCAGCUUAACUGAGAAACUGCCAUUGAUACUGUCAGUCUAGAGUAUAGAUGAUGUGGGCGGAAUAUGACAUGUAGUGGUGAAAUACUUAGAUAUGUCAUAGAACGCCGAUUGCGAAGGCAGCUCACAAAACUAUAACUGACGCUGAGGCACGAAAGUGCGGGGAUCAAACAGGAUUAGAUACCCUGGUAGUCCGCACCGUAAACGAUGAUUACUCGUUGUUGGCAAUAUGACCGUCAGCGACCAAGCGAAAGCGAUAAGAAUCCACCUGGGGAGUACGCCGGCAACGGUGAAACUCAAAUGAAUUGACCGGNGNGAGAGNGCGAGGACGACGACGAGGGAGGAGG
rnacentral:rRNA from 1 species